rnacentral:rRNA from 1 species
GUUGAACGCUGGCGGCAGGCCUAACACAUGCAAGUCGAGCGGAUGAAGGGAGCUUGCUCCUGGAUUCAGCGGCGGACGGGUGAGUAAUGCCUAGGAAUCUGCCUGGUAGUGGGGGAUAACGUCCGGAAACGGGCGCUAAUACCGCAUACGUCCUGAGGGAGAAAGUGGGGGAUCUUCGGACCUCACGCUAUCAGAUGAGCCUAGGUCGGAUUAGCUAGUUGGUGGGGUAAAGGCCUACCAAGGCGACGAUCCGUAACUGGUCUGAGAGGAUGAUCAGUCACACUGGAACUGAGACACGGUCCAGACUCCUACGGGAGGCAGCAGUGGGGAAUAUUGGACAAUGGGCGAAAGCCUGAUCCAGCCAUGCCGCGUGUGUGAAGAGGGUCUUCGGAUUGUAAAGCACUUUAAGUUGGGAGGAAGGGCAGUAAGUUAAUACCUUGCUGUUUUGACGUUACCAACAGAAUAAGCACCGGCUAACUUCGUG